CUCCUUUAAGUCGAACCGUGUUCAGUUAAAGACGAGAAGUUGAACUUGAAGAGAAUACUUCUAAUAUUAUCAUGUAGAUAUGUCCCACUACGUCAUAGCAGUCCAUUGUGGUGCUGGAUACCACUCAACACAGAAAGAGGAUGCUUACAAAACACUUUGUAAAACAGCAUGCAUAAAGGUCAGUCGUAUGUUGGAGAAGAAUAUAGAUGCUGUGGAGAGUGUGACAGAGGCUGUCAGAUAUUUGGAGAAUUCAGAGUUGACUAAUGCAGGUGUAGGAUCUAACCUCAACAUCAGAGGCUCCGUGGAGUGUGAUGCUGCCAUUAUGGAAGGGAAGCAACUCAUGUUUGGAGCCGUUGGGGCCAUUUCUGGUGUCCAGAACCCAGUGACUGUGUCAGCCAAACUCUUGACCAGACAACUAGGGAAGAAGUUAUCCCUGGGGAGACUUCAUCCAAGUGUAAUUGUAGGGGAAGGGGCUAACAAGUGGGCUAGAGAAAAUGGACUAUACACAGUGGACACAGGAUGCUUAGUAACGGAUUAUUCCCGAAAAACUUUUAACAGUCACAAGACAAAGCUCGAUAUUCUGAAUGAAAAAAUCAACAGCAAGAAGAGAAAAUUCACAGUACAGAGUCAGGAGAAAAGUGAGGAAAGCUGUGCUGUACUGGAAACAGAAGAGGGAAUUCAAGAUACUGUGGGGGCAAUUGUCAUGGAUACUGCCGGUAACAUCGCGUCUGCAGUGUCUAGUGGUGGGAUUUCGCUUAAGCAACCAGGGAGACUGGGCCCAGCAGCCACAUAUGGAGCUGGUUGCUGGGCUUACAACCAGAGACCAGGAAAACCAGGGGUGGGAACCGUCACUUCAGGAAGUGGUGAACACAUCAUGAAGACAUUGUUGGCCAGAGAGAGUGCAUUGUCAAUUCAGAGGGAGAAUAAUGUUAGUCUUGGACUGUCCAACAGCUUUAAAGAAUCCUUCCUAGAAACUAAACUGGAGGAUCCAAUUAUUUUUCUUCAAGUUGUGGUGAAUGGAAGAACGAUGGAGGGUGUCAAAUACCUUGUGCUCUUUUCUCCAAGAUGGCAAAUUAAAGAGACUUUAAACUUUUCACAAUACUUCAUUGCCAUUUGUAGAUAUACAUAUUAUCAUGACAGGAUGAUCCAAUUAUUUUUCUAUGAGUUAUGGUGGAUGCAAAAGGAACGGUGAAUGUAAAACAAUUUAAUAUUGUGAAUGCUUCUCCUACAAAUGGCUCAUGGAAUACUGCAUAAAUUUGAAACUUUUUAUAUACAAUCAUGAUUAUUCAACAAGGCAUAUUAUUAUGACAUUGGUCAUUAAAUCUUCCUGUACGCACAAAGUGCAGUUCAUAAUGUCUUUGUUACAGCUGUAAGUUUUCUCCAGUUAUGCUGUGUAUUAAGGGUAUGAGACUUAACUUGGAGCACGUUCAAUUUGUAAAGUUGGGAAGACAUUUGUUUUUAUUAAAAACACUCUAAUUAAUUACAGCAUCGGUCUGUGAGCUUGUUGACAUGUGUAAUACCCAAUUACCUGUCGUCAUCUCUGUCUGUUACACUUUUAAAUUCCAGAAACACUGGACUAAACUUGAAUAAAAUUCUUGGGUAAAGGGGAUUUAAAAAUUGUUAAAAUGCUCCUUAUACAAUGGAAGAUAACGCAAAUCGGAGAAAAUACAAAAUAAAGUUAGUUAAAUCAUGAAAUGGGGAUACAGAGCGAAAAAAAAAAACCCAUUUAAUUUACAUGGAAGCUUUCUGAUAUAGAGCACAGUAAAGUUUGUGAAAAUGAUGGCCAUAAAAGUGUGGUCACAAUAGGGCAAACCAUAUUUACAUGUCUUUGAAUAGAAAAUAAUCUUUAAAAUUUAAUUUUUGUAUCAAGAACCACUGGGCCACUAAGUUUGAACUUGCAUAGAAGAUACCUGACAUAAUGCAAAAUCACGUGUGUAACAGUCAUGACACUUGGAGCUCAGAUGCAGACAUUAUCAAAGAAACUAUUUUUACAUUGGUUUUAACUGUAUUAUGAAAACCUUUUUUCUUAAGAACCUCUGAGCCAGAAGUAUUUCAAUGUACCUGAACCUCCCCAACAUAGUGCAGAAUCAAGUUUCUUAAAAUCUGACAUGGCUCCUGAAAAGUUAAUGGAAUAACAAUGGGAAAUUCAUUUUCCAUGUGUUAAAGUGACUCAGAAUCAGAAUUUUUGGAAGGAGAGAAGGAGAAGUUAGCUGGUGUGCUGGCUCUGGGACAGAAUGAGGAUAAAACAGUGGAGGUAUUGUGGGGUCACACAACAAACAGUAUGUGCAUAGGGUAUAUGUCCCCCACCCUGAAGAGACCCAAGGUUGUGAUGUCCAGACUGCCAGAAGGUGGAAUCCCUGGACAAUCUUUCACGAUGUCUGGUGUGUCUGUAUGAGGGGACAUACGAGGGCUGUUCGAUAUGUAGACGUCUGAGGCACUGACUGAUGGCUGAGCUAAUGGCUUGUUGGGACUUGUAACGACGACCAGAUAAUAACUUCUUAAAUUUUGGAAAAAGGAAAAAGUCGCAUGAGGCUAGAUCUAGAGAGUAUGGUGGGUGUAGCAAGACGGUAACCUUCUCCGACUUCAAAAAUUGCUUCACAAGCUCAGAUGUAUGUGAUGGAGCAUUAUCAUGAAGUAGACGAACAUGCCUAAAUCCUGACACAAGGCGUUGUUUAUGAUAAUAUUUCUUGAGCUUUUUUAGUAUAACAUCUCAGUAAUACCGACCUGUAACACUUUUGCCCUUUAAGCACUGGGAUUUGUACAGUUAUACCAUCACAUGAGAAGAAUAUGCAAUAAAGAACCUUCUUUGUGCUUAUGGUUCAUUUGGCAACUACAGGCCUUCUACCGUGUUUAAUUAGCCAUAUUUUGUUUCCAAUUUUUCAUACUGGUUUGAAAUAGUGAACCCAUGUUUCGUCAACAAUAACAAUGUUUGCAAAUUGUCUUUGAUUGAAUUUGGGAAACCUUUUGAGCAAUAGCUUAGCGGUUUGUACUCGUACCUGUUUUUGGUCAUCUAUCAAUAUAAUGCGGUAUCCAUCUGGCAGAAAUCUUUCGUACUUUCAAAAUACGCUUCAAAGUGAAAUGCAGCUAAGAUAGCAAUAUGCCAACAGCUUUGGCAAUAUCACGAAUCGUGUAUCUGCCAUCCCUUUCAAAUAUUUCCCUGACUUUUGAGACAUUUGCCUUGCCUGUAAUAGUCAAAGGUCGGUCAGAUUUUCCUGCAUCUCUGAUGGACUCUGUGCCAGUCAGAAAUUUCUUUCUCCACCUAUGAAUUGUCUCAUAAGAUACCUUAUCAGACCUAUAAACUUCCCCCAAUUCAGUAAAAAUCUGCAUUACUGAAUGACGGAGUUUUGUGCAAAUUUUUAUAUACGCUCUAAUUUCUUCAAUAUUCUCAAACCAUUUCCCAACCAUUUGUACAACAGAUGUCAACAACUGGCUCUAUUGAAAUGGCUAUAACUUUAAAACUAUAUGGAGCUGAAGGCUUGUGUUUACACCGUUGGAAAUAUAUCGAAUAGAGCUAUUCAAGAGUAUCAUCAUCGACGAAAUCGUGCAAAGCAUUAUUGCACUGUGGUACAAUACACAUUAUAUAUCGAACAGCCCUUGGAUAUGUAGUGUACAUACAAAACACUGAGUUUUCUCCAUGAGAUGUGGUCCUUCAAAGUCAAUCAGAGGCAGCUUAAUAGCAAAGUCAAUCAGAGGCAGCUUAAUAGCAAUUUGAGCUCAGAAUGGUGUAGACUAAAAUACAGAGCUGCUUUUGAUCAGACUGUGAGGAAAGAUUCAGAACACAAUCAUGUCACAAGCUUAUCACUAUGGCUGUACAGACAGAGAAAGCAAGUGCUAUUGAUCGAACAGUGAGAUAACAUUCAGAACACAAUCAAGUCACAAACACAUCACUGUGACAGUAAAGACAGAAAAUCCAGGUGUUAUUGAUUAGAGGAUUAGAGAGUGAGAAAACAUUCAGAACACAAUCAAGUCACAAACACAUCACUGUGAGAUGUGGUCCUUCAAAGUCAAUGAUGGUGAAGAAACCUACUGAGAAUCCAGGUGUUAUUAAAUGAACAAUUACAGUUUACAUGUUCAUUCAUCAGAGAAAUGAUUAAAGUCCCAGAAUUAAAAUAA